rnacentral:rRNA from 1 species
AGUGAACGCUGGCGGUAGGCCUAACACAUGCAAGUCGAACGGCAGCACAGGAGAGCUUGCUCUCUGGGUGGCGAGUGGCGGACGGGUGAGGAAUACAUCGGAAUCUACUCUGUCGUGGGGGAUAACGUAGGGAAACUUACGCUAAUACCGCAUACGACCUACGGGUGAAAGCAGGGGACCUUCGGGCCUUGCGCGAUUGAAUGAGCCGAUGUCGGAUUAGAUAGUUGGCGGGGUAAAGGCCCACCAAGGGGACGGUCCGUAGCUGGUCUGAGAGGAUGAUCAGCCCAACUGGAACUGAGACACGGGCCAGACUCCUACGGGAGGAAGCAGUGGGGAAUAUUUGACAAUGGGCGCAAGCCUGAUCCAGCCAUACCGCGUGGGUGAAGAAGGCCUUCGGGUUGUAAAGCCCUUUUGUUGGGAAAGAAAUCCAGCCGGCUAAUACCUGGUUGGGAUGACGGUACCCAAAGAAUAAGCACCGGCUAACUUCGUGCCAGCCGCCGCAGUAA